rnacentral:rRNA from 1 species
UACGUAGGGUGCAAGCGUUGUUCGGAAUUAUUGGGCGUAAAGAGCUCGUAGGCGGUCUGUCGCGUCUGCUGUGAAAACUCAGGGCUUAACCCUGAGCUUGCAGUGGGUACGGGCAGGCUAGAGUGCGGUAGGGGAGACUGGAAUUCCUGGUGUAGCGGUGAAAUGCGCAGAUAUCAGGAGGAACACCGAUGGCGAAGGCAGGUCUCUGGGCCAUAACUGACGCUGAGAAGCGAAAGCAUGGGGAGCGAACAGG